AAAAAAAAUCCAUAAAUUAAAUUUUUUUUUGUAUCACUAAUUUAUAAUGAAUUAUUAGGCAAUAAUAAAUUAUUUAAUGAUAAAUAAUAAUAAUAAUUUUGGGAAGUUUUGGGAGGAAAAUGAGAAAUUUUGGGUUAAAAAAAGAAAUUUUGGGAAGAAAAUGAGAAAUUUUGGGAUGAAAAUGGGAAAUUUUGGGGUAAAAAACGGGAAUUUUGGGAUAAAAACGGGAAAUUUUAUGCUAAAAAGGGAAAUUUUGGGAAGAAAAAUGGAAAUUUUGGGGCUAAAAAGGGAAAUUUGGGGUAAAAAAUGGGAAUUUUGGGAUGAAAAUGGGAAUUUUGGGCUAAAAAGGGAAAUUUUGGGAUGAAAAUGGGAAAUUUGGGGUAAAAAAGGGGAAUUUUGGGGUAAAAAAAGGGAAUUUUGGGGUAAAAAAGGGGAAUUUUGGGGUAAAAAAUGGGAAUUUUGGGAUGAAAAUGGGAAAUUUUGGGGUAAAAAAUGGGAAUUUUGGGAUGAAAAUGGGAAUUUUGGGCUAAAAAGGGAAAUUUUGGGAAGAAAAUGGAAAUUUUGGGGCUAAAAAGGGAAAUUUGGGGUAAAAAAUGAGAAUUUUGGGAUGAAAAGGGAAAUUUUGGGGUAAAAAAUGGGAAUUUUGUGAUGAAAAUGGGAAUUUUGGGGUAAAAAAUGGGAAUUUUGGGGUAAAAAAUGGGAAUUUUGGGAUGAAAAUGGGAAAUUUUGGGGUAAAAAAGGGAAAUUUUGGGGUAAAAAAUGGGAAUUUUGGGGUAAAAAAUGGGAAUUUUGGGGGCGGGACUUACCCGGGCUCCUUGGGAGGCAGCGGAGAGAGAGAAGGAACGGAAAGGGUUAAACCCCUCCCCCCGAAAUUCCAGCCCAGAACACCCCGAAAUCCCACCCGAGCACACCUGGGGACACCUGGGGACACCUGGGGACACCCAAACACACCUGAGCACACCUGGGCACACCCAAACACACCUGAGCACACCUGGACACACCUGGGGACACCUGGGGACACCUGGGCAGCUCUCAGACCCCACCUGGACACACCUGGACACACCUGGACACACCUGGACACACCUGAACACACCUGUCCAAACUCUCAGACCCCACCUGGACACACCCGAGCACACCUGGGCACACCUGGACAGGUAAAUCCCACCUGUCCAAGCCCUCAAAUCCCACCUGGCCCCACCUGGACACACCCAAGCACACCUGGACACACCUGAACAAGCUCUCACACCCCAUCUGGGCACACCUGGACACACCUGGACACACCUGAGCACACCUGGGCACACCUGGGCAGGUAAAUCCCACCUGUCCAAGCUCUCACACCCCACCUGGACACACCUGAGCACACCUGGACACACCUGGACACACCUGUACACACCUGAGCACACCUGUACAGGUAAAUCCCACCUGUCCCAGCCCUCAAAUCCCACCUGGCCCCACCUGGACACACCUGAGCACACCUGGACACACCUGGACAGGUAAAUCCCACCUGUCCCAGCCCUCAAAUCCCACCUGGACACACCUGGGGACACCUGGACAGGUA
rnacentral:lncRNA from 1 species